rnacentral:rRNA from 1 species
UGUUUGAUCAUGGCUCAGAUUGAACGCUGGCGGCAGGCCUAACACAUGCAAGUCGAGCGGUAACAUGUCUAGCUUGCUAGAUGAUGACGAGCGGCGGACGGGUGAGUAAUGCUUGGGGAUCUGCCUUAGAGUGGAGGAUAACCAUUGGAAACGAUGGCUAAUACUGCAUAGUAUCUGCGGGUUAAAGGGGGCUUCGGCUCUUGCUUUAAGAUGAACCCAAGUGGGAUUAGCUAGUUGGUGAGGUAAUGGCUCACCAAGGCGACGAUCCCUAGCUGGUCUGAGAGGAUGAUCAGCCACACUGGAACUGAGACACGGUCCAGACUCCUACGGGAGGCAGCAGUGGGGAAUAUUGCACAAUGGGCGAAAGCCUGAUGCAGCCAUGCCGCGUGUGUGAAGAAGGCCCUAGGGUUGUAAAGCACUUUCAGUCAGGAGGAAAGGUUAGUAGUUAAUACCUGCUAGCUGUGACGUUACUGACAGAAGAAGCACCGGCUAACUUCGUGCCAGCAGCCGCGGUAAUACGAGGGGUGCAAGCGUUAAUCGGAAUUACUGGGCGUAAAGCGUUCGUAGGCGGUUGAAUAAGCAAGACGUGAAAGCCCAGGGCUCAACCUUGGAACUGCAUUUUGAACUGUUCGACUAGAGUACUGUAGAGGGGGGUAGAAUUUCA